UACGUAGGGUGCAAGCGUUAACCGGAAUUACUGGGCGUAAAGCGUGCGCAGGCGGUUAUGCAAGACAGAUGUGAAAUCCCCGGGCUCAACCUGGGAACUGCAUUUGUGACUGCAUGGCUAGAGUACGGUAGAGGGGGAUGGAAUUCCGCGUGUAGCAGUGAAAUGCGUAGAGAUGUGGAGGAACACCGAUGGCGAAGGCAGCCUCCUGGGCCAGCACUGACGCUCAUGCACGAAAGCGUGGGGAGCAAACAGG
rnacentral:rRNA from 1 species